UCCUAUGAUGAUUUUAUUUUUUUUAUCACGACGGUCAACAUAGCUUUUGCAUUGAUGACCACAGCCUGUGACAGGGCAUUUAUCUGAUA
rnacentral:snoRNA from 1 species